GACGAACGCUGGCGGCGUGCUUAACACAUGCAAGUCGAACGCUGAAGCUCAGCUUUUGUUGGGUGGAUGAGUGGCGAACGGGUGAGUAACACGUGAGUAACCUGCCCCCUUCUUUGGGAUAACGCCCGGAAACGGGUGCUAAUACUGGAUAUUCACUGGUCUUCGCAUGGGGGUUGGUGGAAAGGGGUUUUCUGGUGGGGGAUGGGCUCGCGGCCUAUCAGCUGGUUGGUGGGGUGAUGGCCUACCAAGGCUUCGACGGGUAGCCGGCCUGAGAGGGUGACCGGUCACAGUGGGACUGACAUACGGCCCAGACUCCUACGGGAGGCAGCAGUGGGGAAUAUUGCACAAUGGGCGCAAGACUGAUGCAGCGAGGCCGCGUGAGGGAUGGAGGCCUUCGGGUUGUGAACCUCUUUCGCUCAUGGUCAAGCCGCAACAAUGGUUGUGGUGAGGGUAGUGGGUAAAGAAGCGCCGGCUAACUACGUG
rnacentral:rRNA from 1 species